rnacentral:rRNA from 1 species
UCGGCUUAGAGUUUGAUCAUGGCUCAGAUUGAACGCUGGCGGCAGGCCUAACACAUGCAAGUCGAACGGUAAGAGAGCUUGCUCUUGACGAGUGGCGGACGGGUGAGUAAAGUCUGGGAAACUGCCCGAUGGAGGGGGAUAACUACUGGAAACGGUAGCUAAUACCGCAUAAUGUCGCAAGACCAAAGAGGUUCGUCUUGCCAUGGGAUGUGCCCAGAUGGGAUUAGCUAGUUGGUGCGGUAAUGGCGCACCAAGGCGACGAUCUCUAGCUGGUCUGAGAGGAUGACCAGCCACACUGGAACUGAGACACGGUCCAGACUCCUACGGGAGGCAGCAGUGGGGAAUAUUGCACAAUGGGGGGAACCCUGAUGCAGCCAUGCCGCGUGUGUGAAGAAGGCCUUCGGGUUGUAAAGCACUUUCAGCGGGGAGGAAGGCGACACGGGAAUUCGUGUUGUUGACGUUACCCGCAGAAGAAGCACCGGCUAACUCCGUGCCAGCAGCCGCGGUAAUACGGAGGGUGCAAGCGUUAAUCGGAAUGACUGGGCGUAAAGCGCACGCAGCGGUAUGUCAAGUCGGAUGUGAAAUCCCCGGGCUUAACCUGGGAACGGCAUUCGAAACUGGGAUACUAGAGUCUUGUAGAGGGGGGUAGAAUUCCAGUGUAGCGGUGAAAUGCGUAGAGAUCUGGAGGAUACCGGUGGCGA